CUUGUCCUACGGGGCGCAGCAGUGAGGAAUAUUGGUCAAUGGGAGAGAUCCUGAACCAGUCAAGCCGCGUGAGGGAAGACGGUCCUAUGGAUUGUAACCCUCUUUUGUCGGGGAGCAAAAGACGCCACGCGUGGCGUUCCGAGAGUACCCGAAGAAAAAGCAUCGGCUAACUCCGUGCCAGCAGCCGCGGUAAUACGGAGGAUGCGAGCGUUAUCCGGAUUUAUUGGGUUUAAAGGGUGCGCAGGCGGAAGAUCAAGUCAGCGGUAAAAUUGAGAGGCUCAACCUCUUCGAGCCGUUGAAACUGG
rnacentral:rRNA from 1 species